rnacentral:tRNA from 1 species
GCGGGUAUCGUAUAGCGGCUAUUAUAGAACCUUGCCAAGGUUCAGAUACGGGUUCGACUCCCGUUACCCGCUCAA